rnacentral:rRNA from 1 species
UGGGGAAUAUUGCACAAUGGGCGCAAGCCUGAUGCAGCCAUGCCGCGUGUAUGAAGAAGGCCUUCGGGUUGUAAAGUACUUUCAGCGGGGAGGAAGGGAGUAAAGUUAAUACCUUUGCUCAUUGACGUUACCCGCAGAAGAAGCACCGGCUAACUCCGUGCCAGCAGCCGCGGUAAUACGGAGGGUGCAAGCGUUAAUCGGAAUUACUGGGCGUAAAGCGCACGCAGGCGGUUUGUUAAGUCAGAUGUGAAAUCCCCGGGCUCAACCUGGGAACUGCAUCUGAUACUGGCAAGCUUGAGUCUCGUAGAGGGGGGUAGAAUUCCAGGUGUAGCGGUGAAAUGCGUAGAGAUCUGGAGGAAUACCGGUGGCGAAGGCGGCCCCCUGGGCGAAGACUGACGCUCAGGUGCGAAAGCGUGGGGAGCAAACA